UACGAAGGGGGCUAGCGUUGCUCGGAAUUACUGGGCGUAAAGGGAGCGUAGGCGGACAGUUUAGUCAGUGGUGAAAGCCCAGGCUCAACCUUGGAAUUGCCAUUGAUACUGAUUGUCUUGAGUAUGGGAGAGGUGUGCGGAACUCCGAGUGUAGAGGUGAAAUUCGUAGAUAUUCGGAAGAACACCAGUGGCGAAGGCGGCACACUGGCCCCAUUACUGACGGCUGAGGCUCGGAAAGC
rnacentral:rRNA from 1 species